rnacentral:tRNA from 1 species
UGGAUCAGUUGGUAGAGCAUGGUGUUUGCAAAGCCAGGAUUGUGGGUUCGAUUCCCAC